AAUAUUUCAGUACAGCAGUAUGCAUUUCCUUUCUUUUCUGUCAGUAAUCAGAUUUUGUAAAUGUUUGGGUAUUUCAAGAAAGACGUGGAAAGAGUUGAAAAGAGAAAAAUCCUACAUUGUUGAGAAUACAGUAUUCUUUGAGACCAGUAUCUUGGAAGGUUUCUGGACAACAGUGUAAUCGAAGGAGGAAAAGGCAAAGCGUCUGUGGGCACUGGGCAUGGCCCACAAAGUCUGGGAAAAGGAGAGGGAAUUAUUGACAAGUCAAGAAAGGGUGCCUGACUGUAGAGACUUCCUGAACUCCACUCCUGGACCAGUUAAAAGAAGAUUGAAAUUGAAAUUAAUACCUAAAUGUAGAAGCAUGAUGAACUGCCUGUCGGUGCAUAAUACAGUUUCUUGUAAGGAAUUCAAGAUAAGUGAGUAUUAAAUAAUAAUUUUAUAUCUACGGUCAUUUUCUUGUAAUUGUUGAGUCAUCUGCAAUAGAAUAUGGACAUUAAUCAUAAAGAUAUAGUGAUUAAAUACCAAAAUCACACAAAAAAGUGAAAUUAGGUCAAUGGCACAGAGCUACAUAAUACAGAGAAUAUUUAAUGCAUAGUUUUGGUGGCUAUAGAAGGAAACAAUCUGUCUACCUGGUAUUUAGCAAUAACUCCCUACGAUUUUCUCUCUCUCCUAUCAAAAAUUAUAAUAUUAAUACAUUAGCAUAAUCUGCUAUCAUUUAUACCCAAAGAUCCUGUCUUCUUGGCAUAUCAAUCUUUUCUCCUUUAUUUAAGGGAGGUAUAAAUUCAGCCUGGUCAUUAGGAAGCAAAAGUCAUUUGUUUUAAUAAUGCUGUAGUGAGAGGAGGGCCCAUAUAGGUUUGAACAACCCAGGAAUAAGGACUCCAUUCCAUUAACUUCCCCAGAAGUCUAUUCUUCUAGAUGACAUCAUCAUUUAAACCAAAACUUUAAUGCCUUGCAGAGAUUUCAAUAAUAAACUCUGGCUCACUUGAUGCA
rnacentral:lncRNA from 12 species